GAUGAAGAACGUAGCGAAAUGCGAUAAGUAGUGUGAAUUGCAGAAUUCAGUGAAUCAUCGAAUCUUUGAACGCACAUUGCGCCCUUUGGUAUUCCUUAGGGCAUGCCUGUUCGAGCGUCAUUUAAACCUUCAAGCUCAGCUUGGUGUUGGGUGACUGUCCGCCGCCUCCGGGCGGUCGGACUCGCCUCAAAUUGAUUGGCGGCCGGUACUUUGGCUUCGAGCGCAUCAGAAACGCGAACUCGAGGCCGUCGUCCUGGCUCCCAGAAGCUAUCUUCACAAUUUUGACCUCGGAUCAGGUAGGGAUACCCGCUGAACUUAAGCAUAUCAAUAAGCGGAGGA
rnacentral:misc_RNA from 1 species